ACCUCUUCUUGGAUCUGCUGCAGUUGUAUAAGGUGAGUCUUGGCUGCUCCUUGGUUGGGGGCAGAGCUUUCGGGAAUGAUCUUAGGAUCUUUCAAGGGUGUAACUCCUGGGGGAUGGGAGGAGCUGAGAAGCCAGGGCUGCAGCGGGAGAUGGGACCUUCCGUCUCUCGGGUGUGCUGCCCUCGGCUGGCUCCGCAGGGCCCUGGCGCAGGCUUCGGGAGCCAAGGCCGAAUGCUUCCCCUGACCCUGAAGGACCUGUGUGAGCGGCACGAGAAGGGUGUGCUGCAGAAGCACAAGCGGGCCUGGCACAAAUACAGCCUGAUGAAGAGGCAGAUGAUGAGCGCCGCCGUGCAGAACCGUGAGCCGGAGUCUGUGGAGCAGCUAGAGUCCCACAUUGUGGAGGAGGAGAAUGCGAUUCAGACCGUGGAGCUGCGGAACUACUUCUCCCUGUACUGCCUCCACCAGGAGACGCAGCUCAUCCACUUCUACCUGCCCCUCACCUCCCGCAUCCUCCAUGCCUUCGUGAACUCCCAGAUUCAAGGGCACAAGGAUAUGAGCAAGAUGUGGAAUGACCUGAGACUCAGGUUCAGCUGCCUCUUUGUGUACCACACAGUGCCCUGACCCCACCGCAUUCCCCACCGCAUUCCCCGCCGCAGUCCCCGCCGGAGGACGGCCUGUGUCCUCACUAGCGCGAGGCUAAGGCGCUGCUCCCUGUGGCCACACUAAACCCUCCUUGCAAACGGUGUGUCCCGUGUAAUUCUCUUUGGAUGGCAGCUCCCCUUCCCGCCAGUGCUGUAGCCAGAGCAGAUGCACUCAGCCUGCGGGCCGGGAGGUCACCCAUGGACCACAGGGCAGCUGUGCCACGCUGUCCUCCACCCCGUGGCCUGCUAGCCUGGUGGAGAGGGUUGGUGGGGUUCCUCCUGACACCCAGAGCCAUGGAGGAAGGCAGGGAUCUCUCAUCUCACAGAGAUUGUGCCUAGGGG
rnacentral:lncRNA from 1 species